rnacentral:rRNA from 1 species
UACGUAGGUGGCAAGCGUUUGUCCGGAAUUAUUGGGCGUAAAGCGCGCGCAGGCGGCCUCUUAAGUCUGAUGUGAAAGCCCCCGGCUCAACCGGGGAGGGCCAUUGGAAACUGGGAGGCUUGAGUAUAGGAGAGAAGAGUGGAAUUCCACGUGUAGCGGUGAAAUGCGUAGAGAAUGUGGAGGAACACCAGUGGCGAAGGCGACUCUUUGGCCUAUAACUGACGCUGAGGCGCGAAAGCGUGGGGAGCAAACAGG